rnacentral:rRNA from 1 species
UGAGCAAUCUGCCCUUCUCAUCGGAAUAAGCGUUGGAAACGACGUCUAAUGCCGAAUACGACCUCCUUUCGCAUGAUCGGAGGUGGAAAGCUCCGGCGGAGAAGGAUGAGCUCGCGGCCUAUCAGCUAGUUGGUGUGGGUAAUGGCCCACCAAGGCGACGACGGGUAGCCGGCCUGAUAGGGUGACCGGCCACACUGGGACUGAGACACGGCCCAGACUCCUACGGGAGCAG